UUUCUUGUGCAUGCAAAUUUAAUUUAUGCUUACAAUCUUAUGUACACUUUCACAAAUUUUCCCUUACAUAUGCAAAUCUUUUUGGGUUAUGUAUUGAUGGGUUUUAUAAGUAGUAGUCAACAUUUAAAGUGGAUCAAACAAGUUAUUCGAAAUUGUCCUAAGAAAAGAAUGGGUAUUGUUGUGGUUUUAGGCCAUCAUUAAUGAAAGGUUUUGAUCCACGUCAAAUGUUUACUACUGUAAUUGUAUGGUUUUUAUAUUGAUGCAUUGAUAUAGUUUUUCCUGAUUUUCAUACUGUGCUUUAUCAACAGGCAAAAGAAUAUGUUGUUGCCAUUUGCCCUGUAGAAUUCAGGCUCAUUACCAUUGUCCCAAUUGCAGCAAAACUGUUUUGAGGAGAUAUGUUAUGGAAGCUCACUUAAAAAUAUGCCCAUCAAAUGUACCCCUUCAAUCCUCUAAAACUUCACCUGCGGUGGCUUCUCUGUCCUCAACGUCACCUGCACUGUCCUCACUGCCAUCUACAGCGACACCUGCGGUGGCUUCUCUGUCCUCAACGUCACCUGCACUGUCCUCACUGCCAUCUACAGCGACACCUGCGGUGGCUUCUCUGUCCUCAACGUCACCUGCACUGUCCUCACUGCCAUCUACAGCGACACCUGCGGUGGCUUCUCUGUCCUCAACGUCACCUGCACUGUCCUCACUGCCAUCUACAGCGACACCUGCGGUGGCUUCUCUGUCCUCAACGUCAGGUUCACAGUUGCCAAAAAGGCAAAAUGUGGUUAAAUGCCCACAUUGUUCCCUCACUGUACUAAAAAAGAACUUGAUAAUCCACAUUAACAGAAAACAUACUGACCAUUCGAAAGAUAUUACAAUGCACUCGCAUCUUUCCAGUGUGUGUGUUGAUCCCUCAAAUGGACUGUCAGCAGUUCAAAGAAGUGGUCAUGGUUUCACUAUACCAGUUCAUGUUCAGAGAAAGACAUGGGGCAAAGCUCAUUAUGUUAGAUGUGAGUUGGAGGAGUGUCGCCAGUACCAGCUACUUGCUCACCGGAGUGGACACACGUUUAGUGUCUGUGAACACCUUCGUUCACUGGAUUAUUGUUUUGAGACAGCAUUUGAGGAGCACCUGGAACCAAGAGUCCUUGAUGAGAUGGUGGAGCUUAAAUUCAUAGGAGAGUCAAAGAAGGCAGUUUGUUUGAAAAGACAAAAAAUAGCUCAGACAGCUCAUGCUCCAUUUUCAGUGUUGGUGGCAUUAGGUGAAUCUCAAAAGCAAAUCACUCUCUCCAUACAUGAGCCUACUGUUCAUCACUAUAAUCGCCUUGGUAGAGUAAUGGUAACAUACAAUUCAACUGCAAGUACUUGGCACUGCCCAUGUGCAAAGCCACGAGUGUCUUGCCCUCACAAAAACAUAGCUAAAUGGCACUUAUUCCAAACAAAUAAGACCUUGUUCACAACACACAAAAAUUCUAAAUCAAGUGACGCCUUGGGUUCCCAGCCCUCAGAAGAGCACAUCUUCACUUCCCCAAUUGACCUUCAAAGCACUGUGCAAUAUAUAUAUAAUAAGAAGAAAAUUCCAGCUAAUCUUCCAGAAGCAGCAACCAAAUCAAAGGAAUUUUCAUCAACUUAUCUUCCAGUUGAAACGAUGUGUAUGAUCUGCAGUGGUGAAACUGCACUUGACAUGCCACUGCUGAUUACUGCAAAAGCUAAAAUUGUCACCAUGGAAAGUGUCAUUGAGAACAUCUCUACUUACACCAGAAGAUGCCCAGGGUGUAAUAUGAUUUAUAGGUACCAGGAAUGGCAGGAUGGUCUCCACAAUUUUGAUGAUCAUGUGCUUCUGAGUCUCGAACUGUGUCUGUACCUAAGACACAGUUUACAGAACCAUGUAUCAGUUUCCAGGGCUAUAGAUACUUUGGAGCGCCUCCGGAGAAUAAAAUACCCCAACAGAGACACCAUAAUCCAUGGUUAUGGUCAUUUUGAGGCCUUGACAGAUACCGAAUACUUGUAUUCUUGUGUCAAUUGUGGUUACCAUCCUCCCGUGGUCAUCAUGGACUUGCACAAGAAGGGUGUUUUUAGCAUGUCAGUGAGUGACCUCAAAGAGCCUCCAGCUGAUUUUAGAGGGGAAGUUGACAUUGAGGAUUUCUGGAAAUCAGUCAAUCUUGAGAUGAUUGCCCGAGGAUUUGUCCCCAGCCGGGCCAAAAAUCCAUUUGCUGUGCAACCUAGCUAUGAAAGGUGGGCUCCAUGGAUAGGAAGCAAGACUAGGAAAGAUAACACUGUAUUGAAUACAGAAUAUGCUAAAGUUGUUACAGCGAAGGUCACAUCAGCUGAAGCUCAAAUGAUGAAUGUCUCAGAAGACCGUCUUGUGGAUGAGCUGAUGAAGCAGAAGGUCAGUGUUGUCCGAAAUCUAUGCAAGGCCUGUAAUAUUGAUUCUAAAGGUUCUCGUAUGGAUCUAGUUUCAAGAUUAAGAGCGGAGAUGCAGAACAGGCAGUCAUAUGACAAAAUGUUCCAGAAAAUCUGGGGAGCAUCAGGUGGCUGGUCAGUUAUCCUAUGCCCACAUGGUGUGGUGUAUAGUAUAAAGUUCAAUUUGAGAGCCGAAAGUCCCAGAGAUUUUGCGGACCUGUUGUUGUCAUGGAAGCACAUUCCUAAUGUUAAUGUCUAUGACUUUGCGCGAGGCUUGGCCACACAUGGUAAUUUGCGUGUACCCACUGCUAUUCCAUUUCAACCUCAUGAAGGGAGACUAGCUGAGCCAACACCAGAGAACAUAAGUUCAGCAAAGAAGGGCAAACUAAACGUCUCUCUUCCUUGGUUGUUUGAGAAGACAGACAAUUUGAAUACCAAAUGCCAUCCCAUCACUGGAUCAUCUGAGCACUACGUGUUAUAUGACAAACUUCAUGAAUCGAACACAAAAGACCCCCAGGAAGUACUCAGAAGAAUCAGCCUGGUCCCAGAGCUACAGGGUUGGCUAAAUAGUCAAAUAGCAGAACAGUUUUUUGCAAGCUUGCGAAAAAGCAACUAUUUCCUGAACAACAUGGCACCAUCAACGCAUAUCUUUAUGAUGCGCAACAUCAUUCAUCAUAAGAACACAUCCACAAACCAGAAGCUUCUGGAAGUACAGCUGCAACGUGGUCACAGACCUCAUGGAAUUGAAGAUAUCAUCCUGUCUGACAUGGGACAAGCUAUUCUAGCCCCACGAGCCAGUGAAAGAGAAACCAUCAGGCAACAUCCACAUCACAUAAACCUGGACAUUAGUGAGGGAAAUUUUUUCUCCUUUUGACUUUCAAUGAUUUUUGCCUUUUUGCUAAUACUACCUUUUUAACAUGCAGAAGACUGUGGGCCUCAAUGUGAAGCAUUGACCAAGUGUGAAAAUAUUUCAGCCUGUCGAGCUUCAUGGACUUUGGGAAAUCAUCCAGCUCAAAAAGAACUACUAAACUACAUACUGGACAUUGAGAGACCAGGAAAGGAACUGAUCGUUCGAACAGCGAAUGCUGUCCUUAACCGUGCUGACUUUUGGACACUGGGCUUUAACAGAGACAUGGAGUCAACUAUUGGAAAUGGUUGUUUUCAGUUGAUUAAAAGCAUUGCAUACUCAAAGGGCAAGAACAUUUAUGUAGCUAAUCUUCAUGUUGUACCAACAUGGCUGCCACCAAACAACUGUGAUCCAUUUUUGAGUCUACCUGAUGAUGCUCACUUGAAAGAUGCCCUUGUGAUUCCGAUUUGGACACCAGGACACUACUAGUUGUGUGUACGUAUUCACACGGCAUUUAGUGAAUAUUAAAAAAAAGUCGUCUUUGCAUGCCCGUAGUGCUUUGAUUUCAGUGCAUGUAUAACUGCAGAAAGUACCAAAUAGAUGUAAAUGUACACAUUUUCUAA